CCCCGGCCACGCGAGCGGGAACAGUCUCCUCCACUCGGAGCGGCGCCAUCUUCAGCUCUGAGUCACCAGGGCUGGAAAAAUACUAGAUGCGCUACUCGUGGACUCGUGAAUACACUCGUGAAUACAGGCCAUUUCCUGUACCUACAGCCACCCGCUCCACUCAUCAUGCCUUACCUGGAUGAUGCAGAAGUCCCUGGAAACAGAAGGUCUCACCCUUCUUUAUCUUUCUCAUGGCUUUCCAAGGCUCUUUAUCAUGUUACUUUCCUGCUCAGAAUUCUUUAAUGACUUGCCUCAAUGACCAGAUACAUGUGAUCUACAGUCAGCCUUCCAGCCUCAUCAUUCCUCUUCCAUUUCCUCCCCAGAAACACUGUACUUUAUGAAGCUCCUCCAAGACAGACUGGUUUAACAAGAGUCAUGUGAUCUUUCUGGUCAAUGAAAGAUAAGGGGAAGCCAGCCUGGAGUUGCUUCAGAAAGGCUGCUCUUAAACAGAAACAUAUUUGAAGAAACAGUAACUUUAUUCUGACUCUUUAUGUGUGUGGCGGAGGAAGUGAUGCCUAGAGCUACUACAGGCACUUAGGCCAUGAGGAGAACCAGUGUAAGUCAGCAAGCCAAGAUGCUAAAGACAGCAGAAUAAGAAAAUGGCAAGAAUCUUGUCCUUGAUGCUGUUGAGCUACUGAAUUAACCAGGGCUGCAACUCCCUGUAUUAGUAAGGAUUCUCCAGAGGAACAGAACCAAUAGAAUGUAUAUAUAAGUAUAUAAUAAGGAAUUAGCUCAUGCAGUUACAGAGGCUGACAAAUUCCAAUAUCUGCAGUUGGCAAGCUGGAGACUCAGGAGAACUGACGGUGUAGUCUAACGGCUAGCAGGCCCAAGAACCAGGAAAAGCUGAUUAAAGUUCAAAGGCGGGAAAAAAAAACCCAAUGUCCCAACUUGAAGGCAUUUAGGCAGGAGGAAUUCCCUCUUAUUUAUGAGACUGUCAGCCUUUUUGUUCUAUUUAGGCUAUCAAUUGUUUUGAUGAGGCCCACAACAUUAGAAAGGGCAGUGUGCUUUGCUCAGUCUAUCAAUUUCAACGUUAAACUCAUCCAGUAUAAUGUUUGAUCAACUAUCUGGGUAUGCCAUGGUUCAGUCAACUUGACACAUAAAGUUAACCAAUCGUCAAAACCCCCUACUUUUGGUUUCUUGAUAAAUAAAAUAAUAUUUAUCUUCUGUUUUAGUGGAAUAAAGGUAUGGAAAACGC
ensembl:lncRNA AHI1-DT AHI1 divergent transcript